AUGAUAAGUUUUGACCAGGCUAAAUGCAGAAUGCAUGACCUCCUAAGACAACUUGCUUGUAAUAUAUCAAGAGAAGAAUGUUUUAUUGGAGAUGUUGAAACAUUAAGGGGUGGAAAUAUGUCAAAAUUGCGACGUAUUACUGCUGUUAUUAGGAAGGAUAUGUUGGUGUUACCUAGACUGGAUAAGGUGGAUGUUAAGGUGAGGACUUUCCUAACUGUUGAGGGUCCAUGGAGAAUUGAGAAUACAUUGUUCAAGACAUUUCUGCUUCUUCGUGUUUUGGUACUGAAUUACUCACUUGUACAAAGCAUCCCAGAUUACAUAGGAAAGCUGAUACAUCUACGUCUACUUAAUCUAGAUUAUACUGGCAUAUCUUGUCUUCCAGAAUCCAUUGGCUCCCUAAAGAACCUUCAAGUACUAAGCUUAAGAUGGUGUAAUGAUCUGCACAGUCUUCCUUUGCCAAUGACCCUGUUGUGCAGUUUAAGAUGUCUUAAUCUUUUGGGCACAUAA
rnacentral:rRNA from 1 species